rnacentral:rRNA from 1 species
GCAAGUUCGAGCGGGGAUGAUGUAGCUUGCUACAUUACCUANCGGCGGACGGGUGAGUAAUGCUUAGGAAUCUGCCUAUUAGUGGGGGACAACAUUCCGAAAGGAAUGCUAAUACCGCAUACGCCCUACGGGGGAAAGCAGGGGAUCUUCGGACCUUGCGCUAAUAGAUGAGCCUAAGUCAGAUUAGCUAGUUGGUGGGGUAAAGGCCUACCAAGGCGACGAUCUGUAGCGGGUCUGAGAGGAUGAUCCGCCACACUGGGACUGAGACACGGCCCAGACUCCUACGGGAGGCAGCAGUGGGGAAUAUUGGACAAUGGGCGAAGGCCUGAUCCAGCCAUGCCGCGUGUGUGAAGAAGGCCUUUUGGUUGUAAAGCACUUUAAGCGAGGAGGAGGCUACUUGGAUUAAUACUCUAGGAUAGUGGACGUUACUCGCAGAAUAAGCACCGGCUAACUCUGUGCCAGCAGCCGCGGUAAUACAGAGGGUGCGAGCGUUAAUCGGAUUUACUGGGCGUAAAGCGUGCGUAGGCGGCUUUUUAAGUCGGAUGUGAAAUCCCUGAGCUUAACUUAGGAAUUGCAUUCGAUACUGGGAAGCUAGAGUAUGGGAGAGGAUGGUAGAAUUCCAGGUGUAGCGGUGAAAUGCGUAGAGAUCUGGAGGAAUACCGAUGGCGAAGGCAGCCAUCUGNCCUAAU